AUUUGUACAGUGCAGAGUCCCCAGGCCUCCACAAUGUCGGACCCUGCCUCCUGGCCCCACGCUCCUCCUUACCUGCUGCUGGCUCUGCUGUUGGGAGUUAUAGGUGUGUCAGAUGAGAUGGAACUGCAGGUGAUCCAGCCCGAGAAGUCGGUGUUUGUGGCAGCCGGAGAGACAGCCACUCUGCGCUGCACCCUGACCUCCCUGCUCCCCGUUGGGAAGGUCGAGUGGUUUAGGGGCACAGGGCCAGGCCGGGAGUUAAUCUUCAGUUCUGUUGGAUACCACCACUCCCCCCGAGUAACAACUGUUACAGACAUCACAAAGCGAAGCAACCUGGACUUUUCCAUCCGCAUCAGUAACAUCACCCCAGCAGACACAGGAACCUACUACUGUGUGAAGUUCAGGAAACGGGCUCCGGAUGUGGAGUUUAAGUCUGGACCAGGCACCCAGGUCAUCGUGAGCGCCAAACCCUCUCCCCCCGUGGUGUCGGGCCCCACGGCCAGGGCCACACCUGAGCAGACUGUGAGCUUCACCUGCGAGUCCCACGGCUUCUCCCCCAGAAACGUCACCCUGAAAUGGUUCAAAAACGGGAAGGAGCUGGCAGCCUCCCAGACCACCGUGGACCCAGAGGGAGACAGCGCUUCCUACAGCAUCUUCAGCACAACCACGCUGCCGCUGGCCCCAGGGGACGUUCGCUCCCAGGUCAUCUGCGAGGUGGCCCACGUGACCCUGCAGGGGGGCCCUCCUCUUCGUGGGACUGCCAACUUGUCCGAGACCCUCCGAGUUCCACCCACCUUGGAGGUUGCCCAGCAACCCGUGACAGGGGACCAGGUGAAGGUCAUUUGCCAAGUGAAGAAGUUCUACCCCCAGCGCCUCCAGCUGACCUGGCUGGAGAACGGACACGUGUCCCCAACAGAAAUGGCCUCGACGGCCUCGAACCUCAUAGAGAACAAGGAUGGGACCUUUAACUGGACAAGCUGGCUCCUGGUGAAUUUAUCCACCCGCAGGGAAGAUGUGGUUUUCACCUGCCAGGUGCAGCAUGACGGGCAGCCCCCGGUCACCAAAACCCAUACCCUUGUGGUCUCUGCCCACCAGAAGGACCAGGAAGCCCAUACGACCCACGAUCGAGAACUGUCCACUCCACUCUUGGUGGCUCUCUACCUGGGUCCCAAGCUGCUACUGCUGCUCGUCACUGUCUCAGUCAUCUAUGUCCACAGGAAGUAAUGGAUUGGCUGUGAGUUAUGGACAAGGAAGACAAGGCAAGGUCAGUCCAAGAAAGAGCCAGAUCAGUAAGAGGGGCAGCCCACAGGUCGUACAGGGUCACCGCCCACUUGGAGUAAAGAGCAGGUGUCCCAGGAGGAAAAUAGCACCCAGGACAAAGGAGACACGUGGAGAACAUUUCUGGAAUGAUGCACAGAUAAUGAAAUGUGAACAUGGGUCCACAGCUCCUUCCUUCCUCCCCUGCCACAUGCCAUCCUUGGUCUCUGCUGCCUCCUUCCUUCCCUGAGGGGCCCAGCCUAAGACAAGGAACAACUAGAAGCUUCCACAAAUCUGCCCCAAAUGUCAGCUUCCCCAGAGACCCACCUGCCCACAGUUCCUGCCGCUCCUCUCCCAGUCCUUGAUGCCCCCAGAGCUGGUCGUCAUACCUGGUCCUGAGCAGGGGCAAUAGAAUGUCUCUGGAGACUGACACAUGGAUAUCCUACUAGAAUGUGAGAAACAAGUCACAUGUACACACACCAGGCUAUCUCUUAUCCUUCUCCUGGGGACCAUGGUCAUGAAGUACACACUCAAGUCCAUGUUCUCACAGGUUAUUCCUGCCAACCCUCAGACUCCUAAGCCUUGGUGAGUUCUCCAAUGUCUCUCAAAUACAAAUGAAUCCCAUCCUGGUUGGAAGAAGAGAAGGGAUUCUCCUCCCUCUUUGCCUACAUGUCCUUCUACUCAAACCCACAGAGGAAUAUCUCUUCCUCUCCCUGUGAUGGGAACACUACCUCUUCUGUCACCUUCAUCCUUCCCGACCUCGUUGCUCAUGUACACGAGCUGGCAGUCCAGAAACCUGGACCCUUCCCUGAUUUCCUUCUUCAUAUCCUGUGUUCAAUUCUGCCUUCAUAAAGCUAUGUGCAGUGGCAAGAUGGUAAAUGUUCAACAAUCCACUUCUCAGGAGGAAAAAGAAGCCCGAUUUGUAGUGCUCGUCCACUUCAGUGGUGUCUACACUCCUAAUGUGGCCAAUUUCAAGCUGCCAACAGUGGAACAACUAGCUUGCAAAAUUCCUGGAAAGCUCUCAGGAGCAAGGGCAAGCCUCCUCCCACCCACCAGGGAGCUCCACCCAGCACCUGCACACUGCUCGCUCCCGGGCUGCCCCCUGGUCCCGGCCACCAGCAUCCCUUCCUGGACCAUUGCCGCGUCCCUAACAGACUCUCCAGGUUCCGCCACAGUGAUCCUAUGGAAAUAGAGGUCAAAUUGUCUCCCUUCUGUGCUUCUUCCCCCUACAGAUGUGCAUGGCUCGGUCUCUCCCCCUUUCAAGCUCUGCUGAUAUGUCUCUUUAUGAAAAGCACCUUCCAAAAACCACCCCAUGUAAAAUAUCAAUUCCACUCUCUCACUCUGCAUUCCCACAGCUCAUACCUGAAUUGAACUACUUCCCUAGAACUUAAGAUCAGCCAACUUGAUAAAUGGAAACAGUGCUCACUUUGCACAGUGAUGCAGGACCAAAACAAUGACGGUGCAGCUGAAACCAUGAAAAGUGAUGCCAGUAAUCAGUGGGAAAAGUAAUGAUUUUUCUGUGACCUUUAGAAACUUUUUUCAACAUCUCAGAAACCCUCCAACAGUCAGUUAUGAAUGUAUCGGGACAUAAAAAAACAGUAAAACUAUUAUGCACUUGG